GCUUUUUAAUUGGAGUCAGGUAUGAAUGGAAUUACGGAAUUUAACUGUCUCUAAACUAAUUUUUUGAAAUUACUAUAUAGGUGAAAAAGCCUAUGUAAAUAAAAUAGACGAGAAGACCCUUAGAGUUUUAUUUAGUGUAAGUUAUUCUUAUAAUAAUUUAGUUGGGGCAACUUAGGAACAAGUAAAAUUAAGAACUUCCUAAAAUAUAAUUAUUUAUCGACUUUAGUAAAUUUACAUAAACUACCUUAGGGAUAACAGCAUAAUUUAUUAUAUAAGUUUGUGACCUCGAUGUUGGACUAGGAAAUUAAAGGGCUAGCCGCUUUUUAAGAAGGUUCUGUUCGAACUAUUGAUCCUACGUG
rnacentral:rRNA from 1 species